CAGUAGCCGCGGGAAUACGAAGGGUGCAAGCGUUACUCGGAAUUACUGGGCGUAAAGCGUGCGUAGGCGGUGAGUUAAGUCUGCUGUGAAAUCCCCGGGCUCAACCUGGGAAUGGCAGUGGAUACUGGCUCGCUAGAGUGUGGGAGAGGGUGGUGGAAUUCCCGGAGUAGCGGUGAAAUGCGCAGAUACCGGGAGGAACGCCGAUGGCGAAGGCAGCCACCUGGUCCACUUCUGACGCUGAGGCGCGAAAGUGUGGGGAGCAAACCGGAUUAGAGACCCCCGUAGUCCCGUCUCUUAUACC
rnacentral:rRNA from 1 species